rnacentral:rRNA from 1 species
AUUUGUGUGCCACACUGUCGGUGCACCGCUCGCGGUCGCAACUGGCAUGUUGUGGGACGUCCUACCGGUGGACUUAGCCCUUCGGGGCGGUCCUCUAAAUCCUAUCGCGGUUCACUUCAUUGCUGUGCCGUGAUGGGCCGGUACGUUUACUUUGAACAAAUUAGAGUGCUUAAAGCAGGCUAUCUUCGCCUGAAUACUGUGUGCAUGGAAUAAUGGAAUAGGACCUCGGUUCUAUUUUGUUGGUUUUCGGAACCCCGAGGUAAUGAUUAAUAGGGACAGAUGGGGGCAUUCGUAUUGCGACGUUAGA